AUGAUGCAGAAUGAAGGGAGGAAGGAAAGGCAGAAAUUAUGCCUGGUGUCCUCUUCAUUGACGAAAUGCCAAGAGGAGGAUGUAGAAAUAUCGGAGGAUGCAAGAGUUCUAUUGACCAAGAUCGGGGUGAAUACCUCUUUGAGAUACACCAUCCACCUUAUCACUUCUGCAGCAUUGGCUUGCCAAAAAUGGAAAGGGAAGGUUGUGGAAGUGGAAGACAUUACUCGAGUCUAUAAUCUGUUUUAUGAUAUGAAGAGAUCCACACAGUACUUGAUGGAGUAUCAGAGCCAUUACAUGUUUAAAGAAAUAUCAGCAGGAGAGGCCGAAGAAGAUGAAACUACUGCAAUGGUAAGAUGUUCAGUUCUUCCCUUCCAGGAUGCAUGUGGUCUGAGUAAGAAGUCAAAGGAGCAGAUUGUGGACAUUGAUGCUGCAGAUGUGAACUAUGAAUUGGCAGUUUUGGAAUAUGUUGAAGACAUUUUCAGCUUCUACAAACUAGCUGAGAGUGAGACAAGAGUUCAUGACUAAUUGAUUCACAGCCUACCACAGGUUUGAGCUUAAUCCAGAAACUCUUUACCUCACAAUGUACAUUCUUGAUCGCUACCUCUCUGUGGAGACUGCAUCAAGAAGGGAACUGCAGUUGGUGGGCAUUAGUGCCAUGCUUAUAGCCUCUAAAUAUGAAGAAACUUGGGCUCCCAAGCUCAAUGACUUCAUGUGCAUCUCGGACAAAACUUACAGUCACGAGCAAGUGUUAACUAUGGAGAAACAAAUUCACGAGCAACUGAAAUGGUAUCUAAUAGUCCCAACACCUUAUGUGUUCCUCGUCCAUUCUAUCAAAGCUUCUUUACCUGAUUCAGAAUUUAGUUCUUUAAUUUGGGCUCCCGAGAUAAAAUAUGAAAGCCUUUUUCACCAUAUGAGAUGUUAAUGGAUAAAGCUAACAACUUUCUAAAUGUAGUAAUU